GCCUAUAGUUUAACAGGUAGAACGCCAGACUGUUAAUCUGGAGAUAAGGGUUCAAGUCCUUUUAGGUCC
rnacentral:tRNA from 1 species